ACGUAGGUGGCAAGCGUUAUCCGGAUUUAUUGGGCGUAAAGCGAGCGCAGGCGGUUUCUUAAGUCUGAUGUGAAAGCCUUCGGCUUAACUGAAGAAGUGCAUCGGAAACUGGGAAACUUGAGUACAGAAGAGGACAGUGGAACUCCAUGUGUAGCGGUGAAAUGCGUAGAUAUAUGGAAGAACACCAGUGGCGAAGGCGGCUGUCUGGUCUGCAACUGACGCUGAGGCUCGAAAGCAUGGGUAGCAAACAGG
rnacentral:rRNA from 1 species